rnacentral:rRNA from 1 species
GAUGAACGCUAGCGACAGGCCUAACACAUGCAAGUCGAGGGGCAGCACAUGAGUAGCAAUACGAUGGUGGCGACCGGCGCACGGGUGAGUAACACGUAUGCAACCUGCCUUCUACUAUGGGAUAACCCGUUGAAAGACGGACUAAUACCGUAUAAUACAGGGGCUCCGCAUGGAGAUAUUUGUUAAAGAUUGAUUGGUAGAAGAUGGGCAUGCGUAUGAUUAGAUAGUUGGUGAGGUAACGGCUCACCAAGUCAACGAUCAUUAGGGGUUCUGAGAGGAAGGUCCCCCACACUGGUACUGAGACACGGACCAGGCUCCUACGGGAGGCAGCAGUGAGGAAUAUUGGUCAAUGGACGAGAGUCUGAACCAGCCAAGUCGCGUGAAGGAAGACGGUUCUAUGAAUUGUAAACUUCUUUUGUGCAGGAAUAAAGUGGGUUACGUGUAACCUUUUGUAUGUACUGUACGAAUAAGGAUCGGCUAACUCCGUGCCAGCAGCCGCAGUAAAAC